UACAGAGGGUGCGAGCGUUGUCCGGAAUUACUGGGCGUAAAGCGCGCGCAGGCGGCUUCUCAAGUCAGGGGUGAAAGCCCAGAGCUCAACUCUGGAAUUGCCUUUGAGACUGAGUGGCUUGAGUACGAGAGAGGUGAGUGGAAUUCCCAGUGUAGAGGUGAAAUUCGUAGAUAUUGGGAGGAACACCGGUGGCGAAGGCGGCUCACUGGCUCGUAACUGACGCUCAUGCACGACAGCGUGGGGAUCAAACAGG
rnacentral:rRNA from 1 species